rnacentral:rRNA from 1 species
GACGAACGCUGGCGGCAUGCCUAAUACAUGCAAGUCGAGCGAACAGAUGAAGUGCUUGCACUUCUGACGUUAGCGGCGAACGGGUGAGUAACACGUAAGGAAUCUACCUAUAAGCGGGGGAUAACAUUCGGAAACGGGUGCUAAUACCGCAUAAUAUCUUCUUCCGCAUGGAAGAAGAUUGAAAGACGGCUCUGCUGUCACUUAUAGAUGACCUUGCGGUGCAUUAGUUAGUUGGUGGGGUAAUGGCCUACCAAGACAAUGAUGCAUAGCCGACCCGAGAGGGUGAUCGGCCACAUUGGGACUGAGACACGGCCCAAACUCCUACGGGAGGCAGCAGUAGGGAAUCUUCCGCAAUGGGCGAAAGCCUGACGGAGCAAUGCCGCGUGAGUGAAGAAGGCCUUCGGGUCGUAAAACUCUGUUAUAAGAGAAGAACAAAUUGUGGAGUAACUGCUACAGUCUUGACGGUAUCUUAUCAGAAAGCCACGGCUAACUACGUGCCAGCCGCCGCAGUAA